rnacentral:rRNA from 1 species
UACGUAGGGUGCGAGCGUUGUCCGGAAUUACUGGGCGUAAAGAGCUCGUAGGCGGUUUGUUGCGUCGGCCGUGAAAACCUGCAGCUUAACUGUGGGCCUGCGGCCGAUACGGGCAGACUUGAGUUCGGUAGGGGAGUGGGGAAUUCCUGGUGUAGCGGUGAAAUGCGCAGAUAUCAGGAGGAACACCAGUGGCGAAGGCGCCACUCUGGGCCGUAACUGACGCUGAGGAGCGAAAGCGUGGGUAGCAACAGG